GAGGAAAGAGGGAGGAGGGAUGAAUACAUGCAAGUCGAGCGAACAGGCGAGGAGCUUGCUCCUCUGACGUUAGCGGCGGACGGGUGAGUAACACGUGGAUAACCUACCUAUAAGACUGGGAUAACUUCGGGAAACCGGAGCUAAUACCGGAUAAUAUAUUGAACCGCAUGGUUCAAUAGUGAAAGACGGUUUUGCUGUCACUUAUAGAUGGAUCCGCGCCGCAUUAGCUAGUUGGUAAGGUAACGGCUUACCAAGGCAACGAUGCGUAGCCGACCUGAGAGGGUGAUCGGCCACACUGGAACUGAGACACGGUCCAGACUCCUACGGGAGGCAGCAGUAGGGAAUCUUCCGCAAUGGGCGAAAGCCUGACGGAGCAACGCCGCGUGAGUGAUGAAGGUCUUCGGAUCGUAAAACUCUGUUAUUAGGGAAGAACAAAUGUGUAAGUAACUAUGCACGUCUUGACGGUACCUAAUCAGAAAGCCACGGCUAACUACGUG
rnacentral:rRNA from 1 species